UCCCCUGUGUAUGUCUGUACGUGUGCAUCUGAAAUAAGAACAAUAGUGACGACAACAACACCAACAACAACAACAACAACAACAAUAACAAAAACUCGCAAUCCAAAACAAUAAUAUGGCGACGACCGAAGAUAAAUGAACGGGGAAAUAUUUACAUCUGAUUGCUAAUGAGUUGCGCCCCUAACUAUUCUCCAUCCAGACCAACGAACCAACCAACGAACAAACCAACCAGCUAUUCAGAUUCUCAAUCAUUUGAGGAAUUUACUUCACCAGGCAACAAACGGUCCUGGCACUUCGUUGUUGGCUGCCAUCUUGAGUGGUCUUUCACAGUUUUCCGUUAGCACAGAGAAAUUAGGAUUAAUUCGAUGUAUAAUAUACAUGCAUACACACACACACAAACACACACACCACUCAAACACACACACACACACAAACACACACACCACUCAAACACACACACACACACAUAUAUUUAUUUAAGUACAUUUGCGUUAUGUACCUACAAACACACAUCCCCACACCUUUGCAUACAAUCAUAAAUACAUAUACACACAUAAAUAUAUGCCUGCCAACAAACGUAGAAAUGCACAAAUAUAUUCAUGAAUGUGUGGGUGUAAAGGUUGUGUGUUCUAUAUGCACACAUACAUACACACACACACACACACCAUACACACACGUAUACACACACACACACACAAACACACACACUCACACCGAUAGGCACAGUCACACACAUAAAUGUAUAAAUAUUUAUACCAGUGUAUAUCAGUACGUAUAUUAACAAAUGUAUACAUAUGUUAUAUGAAUGUAUGUCUACACAC